AGAAACUUGGAAACAACCGUUGGAUCGAGAAAUGGACGUCCGAGAUUCGCCCAUAUCACCAUGAGUUAAAAUUUAACUCCCAGUAAAAUUAAAUUUUAACUCAUGAGUGAAUCUGCGAGUUAAAUUUUAACUCAUGGUGACGUAGACGAAUCUCGGACGUCAAUUUCUCAAUCCAACGGUAGUUUUUAAGUUUCC
rnacentral:pre_miRNA from 1 species